AAUAUUGAAAUCCUAUUUAUUAACAUAUUUCAAACACAAGGUUCCCAUGGAUUUUUAAGUCAUGUCAGAAACAUAUAAACAUGUCUUCUUUCUAUCACUUUGUAAAGAAAACCACAAAAGAGAAAUUUACUGACAUAGACAAAUUCUGUAAGACAAGGCGAUAGAUAAUACAAAAUUAGAAUAACAUAAAUUGUGUAGAAGUUCAUAGGGGAGGAACUCCUGUCAGCCUGGAUAACAAGGGCGAAACCGAAAGGAGAACAAAUUGGAAUUAAACCUCUAUUAUCAUCUUUACAAAUAUAUUCAGAAGAAGACUGAGGAGGAGCAAAAUUUCAGGGGGACAGAGUCACAAUGAUGAUGACAGGCUGAAAGAGAGGCACAUGUAUUUUAACACCCCAGGCAGUGAGCACACUAUAACAUUAGUGACAAGAGUAUAUGCAGAUGUAUGAACCACUUCUGGGUGAGGGCUGGGAACAGUGAAUAAACAUAUACAAUUUGUUGGUAUUUGAAGAAUGUUUAAAUUGCCAUGGUAUUAAUAUCGACUAACUCUUCUCUUCCUGAUCUUAGGAUAAUUCCCUCAUGCC
rnacentral:lncRNA from 1 species